AUUGGCCCUUAUCGAAGCCCAUUCGGCCUAGCCCAGCUGAGUCGGUUAAAGGAGCCAAAAGCAUAUUUUACUGAUGGUUGCUGUUUGGAUUUCUUGUAGCUUAUCAGCAACAAUUUGGGCGAGAACAUUA